GAGUUUGAUCGUGGCUCAGAACGAACGCUGGCGGCAUGCUUAACACAUGCAAGUCGAACGCUUUCAUGGCUUCGGCCAUGAGGGAGUGGCGCACGGGUGAGUAGCGCGUGGGAACCUGCCCUGUUGUGGGGGAUAACCGAGGGAACUUCGGCUAAUACCGCAUGCGCCCGGAGGAGCUCGCAAGGGUAACUCCGGGGAAAGAUUUAUCGCAAUAGGAGGGGCCCGCGUCGGAUUAGCUAGUUGGUGGGGUAACGGCCUACCAAGGCAUUGAUCCGUAGCUGGUCUGAGAGGAUGAUCAGCCACACUGGGACUGAGAC
rnacentral:rRNA from 1 species